GGGGAUGAUCGGUUUCGACAGCGGAUGUCGAGGCAGGGGAAGCGAGUCGAGGAAGCGGCAAUGAUCUCGUUAACCAUAUGUCGCAAACUAUAAUCGCCAAUUCUAAGCGCGAUUCCUCCACCUUCGCCCUCGCUGCCUAAUUAGCAGCUAGCGAAGACUCCGUGGAGUGUCAGCCCGGGAGUGUUCCCGACCCGGAUCCUGGCAUCAACUAGGGAACUAAACCAUCGCGUUCGGUCACGGGACACGGUGGGAAAUCAAACAGUGACUGGGCCUGUCGGAGGCUUGUUCGCGUGACCUCCGGGGCCGAGUAAAAACGUAGCGAACUGCACUCGGAGAAGCCCUGGUUCCGCACCGUUGGACGCGGGUUCGAUUCCCGCCAUCUCCACCA
rfam:Streptomyces niveus NCIMB 11891 chromosome, whole genome shotgun sequence.